AAUGAACGUUGGCGGCGUGGAUUAGGCAUGCAAGUCGCGCGAGAAGUCAUUUAGCUUGCUAAAAGACGGACAGCGGCGGAAGGGAGAGUAACGCGUGGUUAUGUACCCUCGAGACCGGGAUAGUGUCGGGAAACUGGCAGUAAUACCGGAUAACAUCUUCGGAUCAAAUGGUGUGAUUCCGCCCGAGGAUCGGACCGCGUACUAUUAGCUAGUUGGAGGGGUAAUGGCCCACCAAGGCUUAGCUGGUUACCGGGUGUGAGAGCAUGGCCCGGCUCACUGGUACUGAGACACUGCCCAGACAUCUACGGAUGGCUGCAGUCGAGAAUCUUCGGCAAUGGACGAAAGUCUGACCGAGCGACGCCGCGUGCGGGAUGAAGGCCUUCGGGUUGUAAUCCGCUGUCAGUUAGGAGGAAAUCCAUGAGGGUUCUCUCUCAUGGUUGACCGAUUUUCAGAGGAAGGACGGGCUAAGUUCGUGCCAGCCGCCGCGGUAAGAC
rnacentral:rRNA from 1 species